AAAUGAAUUGACGGGGACCCGCACAAGCAGCGGAGCAUGUGGUUUAAUUCGAAGAUACGCGAAGAACCUUACCAAGGCUUGACAUCCCUUGACAACCGUAGAAAUACGGCUUUCCCGAAAGGGACAAGGUGACAGGUGGUGCAUGGUUGUCGUCAGCUCGUGUCGUGAGAUGUUCGGUUAAGUCCGGCAACGAGCGCAACCCUUGUGAUAUGUUGCCCUUAUUCAGUUAGGCACUCAUAUCAGACUGCCGUGGAUAACACGGAGGAAGGCGGGGAUGACGUCAAAUCAUCAUGCCCCUUACGUCUUGGGCUACACACGUGCUACAAUGGGCACUACAAAGAGCAGCCAACUCGCAAGAGUGAGCGAAUCUCAAAAAAGUGCUCUCAGUUCAGAUUGUGGGCUGAAACCCGCCCGCAUGAAGCAGGAGUUGCUAGUAAUCCCGAAUCAGAAUGUCGGGGUGAAUGCGUUCCCGGGUCUUGUACACACCGCCCGU
rnacentral:rRNA from 1 species